rnacentral:rRNA from 1 species
AGAGUUUGAUCAUGGCUCAGGAUGAACGCUGGCGGCGUGCCUAAUACAUGCAAGUCGAGCGCGAAGAUCAGGAGCUUGCUCCUGUGAUUUGAGCGGCGGACGGGUGAGUAACACGUAGGCAACCUACCCUUGAGAUUGGGAUAACUACCGGAAACGGUAGCUAAUACCGGAUACGACCUUUCCACAUAAGUGGAAUGGUUAAAAGGCGGAUUUAUCUGCCGCUCAUGGAUGGGCCUGCGGUGCAUUAGCUAGUUGGUGAGAUGGUAGCUCACCAAGGCGACGAUGCAUAGCCGACCUGAGAGGGUGAUCGGCCACACUGGGACUGAGACACGGCCCAGACUCCUACGGGAGGCAGCAGUAGGGAAUCUUCCGCAAUGGACGAAAGUCUGACGGAGCAACGCCGCGUGAGUGAUGAAGGGUUUCGGCUCGUAAAACUCUGUUGUUAAGGAAGAACACUUGAGGUAGUAACUGGCCUUGAGAUGACGGUACUUAACCAGAAAGCCACGGCUAACUACGUGCCAGCAGCCGCGGUAAUACGUAGGUGGCAAGCGUUAUCCGGAAUUAUUGGGCGUAAAGCGCGCGUAGGCGGUAAAAUAAGUCUGAUGUGAAAGCCCCCGGCUCAACCGGGGAGGGUCAUUGGAAACUGUUUUACUUGAGUACAGAAGAGGAGAGUGGAAUUCCAUGUGUAGCGGUGAAAUGCGCAGAGAUAUGGAGGAACACCAGUGGCGAAGGCGGCUCUCUGGUCUGUUACUGACGCUGAGGUGCGAAAGCGUGGGGAUCAAACAGGAUUAGAUACCCUGGUAGUCC